rnacentral:rRNA from 1 species
CUGGCCGUAAACGAUGGAUACUAGGCGUAUCGGGUAUCGACCCCUGAUGUGCCGCAGCUAACGCGAUAAGUAUCCCGCCUGAGUAGUACGGCCGCAAGGUUGAAACUCAAAGGAAUUGACGGGGGCCCGCACAAGCGGUGGAACAUGUGGUUUAAUUCGAAGCAACGCGAAGAACCUUACCAGGGCUUGACAUGGUAGGAACCUUUAGGAAACUAGAGGGUGCCCGCAAGGGAGCCUACACACAGGUGG